GCGAGGCACGUGAAACCUUGUCUGAAUAUGGGGGGACCAUCCUCCAAGGCUAAAUACUCCUGACUGACCGAUAGUGAACCAGUACCGUGAGGGAAAGGCGAAAAGAACCCCUGUGAGGGGAGUGAAAUAGAUCCUGAAACCGCAUGCAUACAAGCAGUGGGAGCACCUUCGUGGUGUGACUGCGUACCUUUUGUAUAAUGGGUCAGCGACUUAUAUUCAGUAGCAAGGUUAACCGUAUAGGGGAGCCGUAGAGAAAUCGAGUCUUAAUAGGGCGUUUAGUUGCUGGGUAUAGACCCGAAACCAGGCGAUCUAUCCAUGAGCAGGUUGAAGGUUGGGUAACACUAACUGGAGGACCGAACCCACUGUCGUUGAAAAGCCAGGGGAUGACUUGUGGAUAGGGGUGAAAGGCUAAUCAAGCCUGGUGAUAGCUGGUUCUCCCCGAAAGCUAUUUAGGUAGCGCCUCGGACGAAUACCAUAGGGGGUAGAGCACUGUUUCGGCUAGGGGGUCAUCCCGACUUACCAAACCGAUGCAAACUCCGAAUACCUAUGAGUACUAUCCGGGAGACAGACUGCGGGUGCUAACGUCCGUAGUCAAGAGGAAAACAAUCCAGACCGCCAGCUAAGGCCCCAAAAUCAUAGUUAAGUGGGAAACGAUGUGGGAAGGCAUAGACAGCUAGGAGGUUGGCUUAGAAGCAGCCACCCUUUAAAGAAAGCGUAAUAGCUCACUAGUCGAGUCGGCCUGCGCGGAAGAUGUAACGGGGCUAAAA
rnacentral:rRNA from 1 species